CGAAUUUGGUUACUCCAAUCUCCAUAACAUCAUGCGUUUGAGAGACGCAUUGAAGGGCCGAGCAAGGGAAACAGUGGAAUCCAUGUUGGGGAGUUCUGCCAACGUCAGCGCCAUUUUGGAAAUUCUGCAGGAAACAUUUGGUCGACCAGAGCAACUUAUCCGAAGCCAAGUAGAAAAAGUCCGAGCAUUCCACCGCUGGCAGAUGAUAAUUUGGAUGCACUUGUCAACUUUGCCAACAAACUCUCCAAUAUGGCCACUUUCCUAAAAAACGCCAAGGGUGAACACCAUCUAUCCAAUCCAUCGUUGCUGAGUGAGCUAGUGUCCAAACUGCCGAUAAACCGCCAAAUGCAAUGGGCCGAAAAAUGUCUGCAACUCCAGCACCCCGCCACUAUAGUGAUUUCAGCGAUUGGUUGGGAAUAUUACGCCGUCUCGCACAUAUGGUCCACGACACACAGCCAAUUUCAGCAACCUCGUCCAAUCGCCGACACACACAAACACAACAAAAAAAAUACGCAUAUGUCGCUGUCAGUUCGAGCUGUCCAAUUUGUCAGGGAGAGUGCAACAAUAUAAAAAUCUGUCCACACUUUUAAAAAUGACCAUCGAUGACCGAUGGAAUAAAAUUAAACAAAUUAAAACUUGUUUUUGUUGCUUAAAGAGAGGCCACCAACUUAAAAAUUGCCACUAUAAGCGUCGUUGUGGCAUAAAUGAUUGCCAAAAAUCACACCACCAAUUGUUGCACAAAACACUCGCGACGCCAUCCCAGGAACCGAAACCGAACAUUACCCACACACGAUUUGGAGCCACGAACGAACACCCCAUCUCUUCCCGACGCACCGCCGUCUCAAACACAACGAAGAAAUUGUCAUGCCGCCCACUACACCGAAAACGUACUGUUCCAGAUUUUGCCCGUGACGCUAUACGGAACACACAAACAAUAACGACGUACGCGUUCAUUGACGACGGCGCCAAUGUGUCCAUGCUGGACGAGGACGUGCUCGCGAACUCGGAGUACACGGGAAACCGGAGAUUUUAAAAAUUCAGUGGCUUAAUAACCAAAACAUAAACGAAAAAACAGAAAAAAUUAAUUUGACAAUUAGUGGUGUCGGUGAGUACAACAACAAGUACCCGAUAACCAAUGUUUACAUUUCGUCCAAUCUGUCAUUGCCAAUACAGAGUUGCCAUCUGGCUCAUUUAAUUAAAUCCCGUGAAAUCGACCAAAUCGCCGAAAUUCCAUUCCGGGAUUAUUCGAAUGUUCAACCUAAACUAAUAUUAAGCUUGCAACAUUCAUUUUUAACAGUUCCCUUGGAAGCUCCUCGUAUGAUGACCGAUGUUGGACCAAUCAUUACCCUAACGAGAUUAGGCGCCGUAAUUUAUGGACCGAUCCCAGGCGAGAAGAGUUCCAAUCUUAAGCGGGCUUUACACGUUAGGAAACGUUUCGAGGAAGAAAAUUGUGACUUUCUUAAGGAAAUGCAUACCAUGAUGCGGCAAUAUUUCGACGUGGAGACAUUGGGUACCAAGGUAAAUGUGACACCAAUUCUGUCCAUAGAUGAUGAACGAGCGUUAAAAAUAUUGAGAGAAAACACGAAAAGAAUCGAUGGGCGAUAUCAGUGUCCGCUUUUGUGGAAAGAACAUUUUUCUCCAAUUCCAGAAUCGUACAAUUUGUCGUACAACCGAUUGCAGUGUGUGGAACGAAAAAUGGCAAAGGACAGUGUAUAUGCAGCUCAAUAUUGCAAAAAGAUAAGAGACUACGAGGAAAAAGGAUAUUGCCGUAAACUUUCAGUAGCAGAACGAGAAAGAAGGAGCGACCGAACGUUUUAUUUGCCACAUUUUGGCGUUAAAAAUCCCAACAAAGAUGGAAUUCGUAUCGUCUUCGAUGCUGCUGCUGAAGUUCAACAAUUUCAUUAAAUAAAGCCUUAUUACCUGGACCUGACAUAAAUAACUCUUUAAUCUCUAUUCUUUUUAAAUUCAGGGAAUUUCCUGUAGCCGUGUGCGGAGAUAUACAAGAGAUGUUCCACCAAAUUGUAAUCGCCAAAGAAGAUCAGGACAGUCAGCGAUUUCUAUGGAGAAAUGGGGAUCCCAGUCAACCCUUAGAAACUUAUGUAAUGGAACGGAUGAUUUUUGGAGCCACUUGUUCGCCCACCAUAGCCCAAUAUGUAAAAAACCUAAAUGCCCGAAGGUUUAUAAAUGAGUCGCCAAGAGCAGUACAAGGAAUCAUCGAUCGUCAUUACGUAGACGAUUACGUCGACUGUUUCCAGACUGAAGGUGAGGCAGUUGAAGUGGUACGUGAUGUCAUAAAAAUUCACAAAGAGGGUGGAUUUAAUCUCCGCACAUCAAGUCUAAUUCCCUUGUUUUACAACGUAUGUUUGGCAACCCUAUUUCUGAUGAAAGUGAUGGCAACUCCAUUUUUGAUGAUGGAAUGGAACGGGUACUCGGUAUUCAUUGGCUGCCAAAAUCAGAUGUAUUUUGUUUUGAAUUAAAAUUACACAAAGUGGAUGAAAAGAUAUUGAAAUUGCAAAAAGUGCCAACGAAACGCGAAAUGUUGUCUUUAAAUAUGUCCGUAUUCGAUCCAUUCGGGUUUCUUGGUGAUUUUAUGGUGACGUCGAAGAUAAUUAUGCAAAAUGUGUGGAAAAGUCGUAUAAAGUGGGACGAGGAGUUGCCGUCCGCGAUUUAUAGCCGCUGGAAGACCUGGCUGGAGGAAUUGCCUAAAUUAAAGGAUUUCAAAGUUCCGAGGUGUUACAGUAAUGGAUUUUUUAAUGGUAUAGUAGAUUUGCAUGUGUUUGUGGAUGCCAGUGAAGAUGCAAUGGCUGCUGUGGCAUACUGGCGUAUAGUAACAAAUUGUGGUGUAAGUGUUGUGUUCGUUAUGGGCAAGACGAGCUGUGCCCCAACAAGAUACCAUACUAUACCUAAGCUUGAGUUGCAAGCAGCAGUAAUUGGAAUUCCUCAACAGUGAUAAGUUGGAUCCGUUCAGAACACCGUACAUACAAACAAUAUGUGGCAAAUAGAGUGUCGGAGAUUCUGGAAAGCAGCCGUAUGGAGCAGUGGCGGUGGUGUCCAGGAGCGGAAAACCCAGCUGACGAAGGGACCCGUGCUAAAGGACCCAAGAAGUACCAGCCAGAAGGACGUUGGAAAAAUGGGCCAGAAUUCCUGAGAAAAGAAGAGAAGUAUUGGCCGGACGAGGAACAAAUUGGAACAUGUGUGGAUCACAGCAAAACAGAGCUAAGAAACAAAUACAAAGUUUUGGUGGCUUGCCAGGUAUGUUUUUGUAUUCCAGAUAUUAAUAGAUUUUCAAAAUAUCGUAGGCUGAAACGGGCAAUGGAGACGUGGACGAGUCAUCGAAGUAUUCAGGGGCAAAGACGGAGUGGCACGAUCAGCCAAGGUGAGAACGAGUGCCGGUGUAUACCACAGACCUGUGUCCAAACUUGCCAUUUUGGACGUGGAAGCGGCUGGAGACGGAGUUGGUGAAGCCUCCCCCUCUGGGUCAGUUCACGGGGGUGGGGAUGUUAGAGAUGGUAACCCUGCAAUUACCAAAGCUAAAAAAGUGUAGCCAAAUUUGAAAUACCACUGUUAUAAAUGGCCGAAAUAUCCCAAGCGAAGAGGGAGACGAAACUAAAUUUAAGCCAACAUCUUCAUUUUGUUUAUUUUUGUUGUUUUGCUUAAUGUCACUUUUUAUAUAAAUAGGCCCUUAUGGCCAUUGUUUAUUCCCUUUUUUGUUAGAACCCAAAAAUAAGUAAGUCGUGUUAAUUUUUAUUGUUUUUAAAUUAAUAUUGUUAUUUUAUUUGUAAACUUAAUUUUUGUUAAAUUUUUAAAAUUCUUACAGAGAAUAAACAACGACAACUAAACUCACUAUUUGUAAACAAACAAACCAAAUAAACGCAGCUUUUUAUUUUGCCGAAA